rnacentral:rRNA from 1 species
UGGUGGCGAUGGCGGAGGGGUCCCACACGUUCCCAUCCCGAACACGACCGUUAAGCCCUCCAGCGCCGAUGGUACUUGGACCGAAGGGUCCUGGGAGAGUAGGACGUCGCCA